rnacentral:rRNA from 1 species
AUGGAAACAGAUGCAUGCGACGCGGGCGUGGGAGCAGUGCAGCAGCAGCAAGGGCAUCCGAUUGCAUAUAUGAGCAAAGCAUUGUCCCCCAAAUUCCGAGGGUUGUCAACAUAUGAAAAGGAGUAUCUCGCGGUGGUCGUGGCAGUUGAGCAGUGGAGGCCCUACUUGCAGCACAACGAGUUCGUCAUUCAGACUGACCAGAAGAGUCUCAUUCAUCUCGAGGAGCAGAGACUGACUAUGCCGUGGCAGCAGAAGGCUUUCACAAAGCUGCUGGGUCUUCGUUACUCUAUCAAAUACAAGAAAGGAGUGGAGAAUGGAGCAACCGACGCAUUGUCCAGAGCCACGCACAUGGACCAACUCCACACAGUCUCUUCAUGCAAGCCAAGUUGGAUGGAGGAUGUUCUCAAUAGUUAUAAUGCUAACCCACAGGCGCAAAGGUUACUGGAACAGUUGGCCAUCCGUCCGGAUCCCAAAGGGCAUUUCACGCUAGAGCAGGGUAUGCUUCGAUUUCGAGGGAGGAUCUGGCUCGGAGGUGCGACAGCAAUGCAGCAGCACAUCAUUGCUGCGUUUCACGACACUCCGCUUGGUGGGCACUUCGGUUUUCCAGUCACUUGGCGUCGAGUGCGCCGUUUAUUUGCAUGGCCCAAGAUGAAGACUCACAUCCAGCAUUACGUCCAAUGCUGCCCGACGUGUCAACAAGACAAACCUAAUCGUGCUGCUUAUCCAGGACUGCUCGAGCCUCUGCCGGUGCCUAAGGAAUCGUGGGAAAUGAUAAGCAUGGAUUUUAUCGAUGGUCUGCCUCCUUCUGGCGGGGUUAACUGCAUUCUGGUCAUAGUGGACAAACUGACUAAGUUUGCCCACUUCCUUCCGCUGGCUCACCCGUACACAGCCUCGAAGGUCGCUCUCCUGUACAUGAAUCAGAUCUACCGGCUGCAUGGAUUCCCAGGGUCAAUUGUGUCUGACCGUGACCCGGUGUUUACAAGUCAUUUCUGGCAGGAGUUGUUUAAGUACGCUGGCACUGGGCUGCGCAUGAGUUCUGCCAAUCACCCGCAAACGGACGGGCAGACGGAGAGAGUCAACCAAUGCCUUGAAACCUAUUUACGGUGUUUCACUCAAGCAUGCCCUCAUCGUUGGAGUUUCUGGAUCCCUCUGGCUCAAUUUUGGUACAACUCGUCCCACCACUCUUCCAUUGGUAUGUCACCUUUCUGA